ACGGUACCCCAGGAAUAAGUCCCGGCUAACUACGUGCCACCCGCCGCCGCUAAUACAUAGGGGACAAGCGUUCUCCGGAUUCACUGGGGCGUAAAGAGCGUUGAGGCGGUUCCGUAACUUGGGCGUGAAAGCUCCGGGCUUAAAUCGGAGAUGUCGUUCAGUACUGCCGGCGGCUUGACGACGGCAGAUCGAAUGUGUGCAUUCCCGGCUGUACGUGGUGAACUGCGUAGAUAUCGGGAGGAACACCCGUGCCGAAGCCGGCCGUCUGGGAUGUUCCCGACGCUGAAGGCGAAAGCUAGGGGAGCGAACGGGAUUAGAUACCCCGGUAGUCCUAGCUGUAAACGAUGGAUACUGGGUCUGGAGGCUGUAAAUUCCCUCUGUGCCGAAGCAAACGCGUUAAGCAUCCCGCCUGGGGAAUACGGCCGCAAGGCUAAAACUCAAACGAAUUGACGGGGGCCCGCACAAGCAGCGGAGCGUGUGGUAUAAGUCGAUGCUACACGAAGAACCUUACCUGGGUUUGACAUGCACGUGGUAGGGAAACGAAAGGGGACCG
rnacentral:rRNA from 1 species